GGGUAACUCAUGACUGCUCAGCAGAGACGUCCACAUCACCUCUAGAUCUCACAGUGCUCACUUUGCUGUCUGUCACACCAGUUUUUUUUUUGGCUCUGACAAACAAGCUGUGGAAAGGAGAGAGGAUGAAGGCUGUUAUGAACUUUCUGGUGUUGACGCUGGUCGUUGUCAUGGCUGAAGCCGGGGAGAGUCAUCCACGACGUCAAGGAAACCCAUGCAGAUUGACACCUAGAGCAUUUGGAUGUGGAUGGGAAACAUCCCAAGAUGAAGUGGCCGAAGAUAAACUGAGGCGAUACUAUGAAGAGUGAGUCUGUUCUUGAUUUUGAAGAUAUAGUUUGAGCUAUAUCUUUGUGCUUUGAAAAGCAACAAAUAAUUGGAUGAGUAAACAUGAAGCUCUUGAGAUGUUGUGAUUUUAGUCACAGCUCCAACUGAUGUUGAAAAAUGUAAAAUUGCUUGAUAGUGAAAACUAUCCUGCUGAAUAAAGC